CGCUACGCGAGUGCAGUGUCGCGUUGAACGUCUCACAGAGCGCGUCGCACGUACGAGAAGUGGCCGCCGCCCGUGUCAGCAGUCGCGUCGCAACCACGUAACCUCGUCGUAUUAGUUUAUAGUAGUUGAGUAGUAGAGAGGAGAAGAGAAGAGAGGAGAAGAGAUAAAACGCCGUAAGAACAUCAGCGCGUCGUCGUUAUAGAGUAAAAAACGUCGUCGCCGUCGUCGUCUACGUCGUCGUCGUCGUCGUCGUCGUCGUCGAUCGUCGUUCCUAGCUAUUGCCGUUUCUACUCUCUCUCCCCCUCAUCCCCGUCCCCCUCCCCCCCGCAAAGAAACGUGAAAAAGACAACAGAAAAGGAAGAAGAAGAAAGAAAGAAAGAAACAAACGAAAGCAACAACGACGAAAAACGAAAAAUAACGAAAACCAAGCAAACUCGUGACGUUGAAACUGAAUUCGGGGAAACUAAACGCAACGCAAACUCAAACCUCAACCUCGACUCAACGCAACGCAACGCAACCGACCGACUGACCCGACGCGCUUUCCAGGCCUAAUUCACACCGCCACCACCGCCACAACCACCACCCCCCCACCCCCCUCCCCGACCUACCCGUCCACCCGCCCAAACACCCACCCACCCACCCACCGAUCCACCCACUCAAUCAUCCGAAGACCGGGUCCAUCCCCCAAGUACUACGAGUCUCACGGUAAUAUCGUGCCCACCGAUAUGGAGCCCCAAACCCAGGAGAUAGUGGCCAGCGGAUCGCCCGCCGAGGUGCCGAACGAUCCAGGGAAAAUGUUCAUCGGUGGUCUAUCUUGGCAGACCAGUCCAGAGAGCCUCAGAGAGUACUUCACCAAGUAUGGGGAAAUCACGGAAGUGAUGGUCAUGAAAGAUCCCACCACCAGACGAUCAAGCAGCGGUGAGCUCGCCUCGUAUGUGGUGGAUAGCACUGGCCGCAUGUUUACACCAAGAGGUUUUGGCUUCAUCACGUUCGCGGAUCCAGCCAGCGUCGACAAAGUUUUGGCUCAAGGCACUCACGAACUCGACGGCAAAAAGAUCGACCCAAAGGUGGCGUUUCCAAGGAGAGCACAUCCGAAGAUGGUGACUAGGACAAAGAAGAUAUUCGUGGGCGGGCUAUCGGCGCCGACGACACUCGAAGACGUGAAAAACUACUUCGAACAGUUCGGCCCGAUCGAGGAUGCCAUGCUGAUGUUCGACAAGCAGACGAACAGGCACAGAGGAUUCGGCUUCGUCACGUUUCAGAGCGAGGACGUCGUCGACAAGGUCUGCGAAAUCCACUUCCACGAGAUCAACAACAAAAUGGUUGAGUGCAAGAAGGCGCAGCCGAAAGAAGUGAUGCUACCAGCGAACCUGGCCAAGACGCGGGCGGCAGGUCGAGGCGCUUACGAUUUUAUGUGGUCCCUGGGAGCAUUACCUGACGGUUUCCCGGCAGCAGCGUACGCGGCGUACGCGGCAGGGCGCAGCUACUCAGGAUACCCUAGUUUCGGUCUCCCCUACCCAACAGGAACGCUAGUGUACCGUGCGGUGAGUCCGCGCCUGAACGGCCUGAACCCUGCGCGAAUGAAUCGGGUGGCCGUCAGCCCAGCCGGCUGUUCCGGGCUGCCCGUGUACUACCCCGGAAGCGGAAGUGACGGUGUGGGCCGCGCGUAUUCGGAGGCGACGAUGCAACACGUUCAACAAAAUCUCCAGCGUAAGAAAUUGGAUCUGACCAACGGGCAGUUAACACCCAACAACAAUACGCCGCUACUUACGCAAGCGCUUUCUGGAUUUGUUCCAGUGAUGAACAACUACCAGGCGGCAGCGCAGGCCGGAUUUCCGCCGGCGUCGCCGCACGGAGCCGCGGGUCACGGGGGACCUCAAAACCGCUCCUUCCCGGCCGCAAAUUCGCCAGGACCGAUCGACAUGUACAGUUCGAGCGCGGCGGCCGCGGCCGCGGCCGCAGCGGCGGACAGCGCGGUGGCCAGCUACGUUCAGGCCGCGGCGAGCCCGCAACCGCCGACGACCGCGUUUCCCGCAAUCGCGGUCUCCCGCGCCCCGCUCAACUACAGCCCCAUGAUGUUUACCGCAGUUUUAGAAUCGCCACUUUGGUAGCGCUCGCAGCAGCCGGCCACAUUAUUGUGCCCCGAAGUUUCGAGGGUAAAAUUACACCGCGGUAUAAAUACGGGCAUAAAGUUGAUCGCACGACGCUUUUUACGUGAAUUACAACGCGGGGGAUAUAAUUGUGGGAAAGAAAAUACUCGGGGUCCUCUGAUACCAGCGGCGUUCACUAACGGCUACCAUUGAGCCUUGUUAAGACCUAACAACAGGAUGGAAGAGAGGGCAGAAUUCGGCAGCACGGUCGACUAACGGCUAGAUUACAACAACGGGGACAAACGUAUAUUAUUAUAAAAAAUAUCAUCACAUACACAAGAGAGCAUUAAUAAAUAUUAUAUAAAGACAAGCAAACAAAGAAACGAGAAGAAAAAGAAAAAUGAGUAAUAAAAAUUAAAUACAUAUAUAAUAUAAAUAACACACCUAGACGAUUGCGCGAUACGUUGAAUUAUGUUACACACACACACACAUAUAUAUAUAUAUUUGAACACGCGAUCGAUUAAUGUAUUUAAUGAGAAUUUCGAGUCAUGAACCGUGGAUGGAACACAAAGCCUUUAGGAUAUAUGAGCGCGAAUUGUGGCGACGGGUGCGUAAAGAAAUUGGAACAAGCUAAAGGGAGAAAUAAAAAAAUUUAAAUAAGUAAAAAAAUAAAUAAAUAAAAACGCCGGAUUAACGCGUGUACGUGGGAAAAAGGUUGGAAGGAACGGAGAGGAGGAUUCGGUAAAAUAAAUAAUUUAAACGAAAGGGAAAUGCUUGCUGGGAAUAAUAAAGGCAAUUAAAAAUGUUAACAACAAGAGAUCCGUUCGCCGAAUAGAAAAUAUAUAUACAUAUAUAUACAUAUAUAUACACACUAACUACGCUAAUUGUAAACGAAAAAUGCGGUUCUUGAAAACGAAAAAAAAAUAUCGAGAAAAAAAUUACAAAAAAUGAACACAGCGUGUCUUAUAUCUGUAUAUGUAUAUAUGUAUACAUAUAUCAUAUAUAUACACGUAUACGUGUAUGAAGAAACUACAAAUAC